GGGAAUAUUGCACAAUGGGCGCAAGCCUGAUGCAGCCAUGCCGCGUGUAUGAAGAAGGCCUUCGGGUUGUAAAGUACUUUCAGCGGGGAGGAAGGGAGUAAAGUUAAUACCUUUGCUCAUUGACGUUACCCGCAGAAGAAGCACCGGCUAACUCCGUGCCAGCAGCCGCGGUAAUACGGAGGGUGCAAGCGUUAAUCGGAAUUACUGGGCGUAAAGGGUGCGUAGGUGGUUUCUUAAGUCAGAGGUGAAAGGCUACGGCUCAACCGUAGUAAGCCUUUGAAACUGGGAAACUUGAGUCUCGUAGAGGGGGGUAGAAUUCCAGGUGUAGCGGUGAAAUGCGUAGAGAUCUGGAGGAAUACCGGUGGCGAAGGCGGCCCCCUGGACGAAGACUGACGCUCAGGUGCGAAAGCGUGGGGAGCAAACAGG
rnacentral:rRNA from 1 species